GCACUGCUGAGGAGUCCCACAAUAGGACAAAACGGCCGUCCACUGC
rfam:Schistosoma mattheei strain Denwood, Zambia genome assembly, scaffold: SMTD_scaffold0000178